rnacentral:lncRNA from 1 species
CUUAAAGUGAAGAUUGUCAACUAUAAUUCAAAAGUAAACAUGAAGGUAUUUUUGUUCUUGCAAAUUCCAAAAGUGUACCUUUGAAUUGGCCCUUUUUUAAAUUCAAAGUAAUUUUCAUUGACAUAUCUCAAUUUUUUGUCAUAGCCUUUAAGGAAAAAAACAUGCAAGUUCUGUACAUUUCUUGUGACAAGGCCUCUCUGAUUUACUUGGACCUCAGCUUUGUGCCUUGUGCUUUCAGCUGUCUCUAGUAUUUACAGUCUAGUAAAUGACUUUGGUCUAUCCAUGUAAGAUUCAGUCAAAUCCGAGGUCUUGUGAUCAGGCGAGUUUAUUUACAGAAUCACUGAACACUGUCCCAACUUGACAUUAAAUCAAUUUUCAUGGCCUGUCUUAUAUUGUCCUCUUCAGACACUAGCAGUUUCUUGGCUUAAAGGACCUUAGCUCUAUUUUGUA